UGUUAAAACUAUGUCGUUUUGGGACCUUCCCAAUCCCUAAUGGGUUUUUCCCUAAUUAUUCGUCGUCUUCGGUCGUAUUCGCAGAACUCUUUCUCGAUUAACCCUUUUUUAAAGCCCCACCUUGUCAAAGUUUUCAAUCGUUAUCUUUCCCGUAUAUUUUCACCAUCUUUCCUUGUACAACACAACACCGUCAAGUUGUUCCAAAACCUCUACUCUUCUCAUCGAAAUCGUCGGCACGUCGUCGAAAUCGUCCGGUCACUGCAAAAGUUACGUUGUCUUUGUCGAAGUCAGCUACCAAUUUCAUUGAUCGUACGAACGUUGAAGUCAUCCACAAUCGAUUAAGUCUGAAUCAUUCGUUGUCAAUAUUGUCAGCCGUCGAAGUUGAUUCCGUUCGAAGUCGUCUAUCUCUACUAAAAUCGUCCACCAUUGAAGUUGUCCACUGCUUUUCCAUUCUCAUUGUCAUCUGUUUCUUCAUAUUUUUGAGAAAAUUUUUAGGGAAGAAGAAGAACUAAGAAGUCAUGCGAAAGAUAGUGCAAUGUGACGAUGGAGUUCGAACAAUGUGGUAAGGACUGAAAGGAAACAUGAAAGAACCGAAACCGAGAGGGAAAACGAGAGGAGAAGCCGAGAGGGGAGAAGAGAGAAUCGUCUUCGCUGUUCCGUGUUCUGCCGCCGUCGCUCGCCGCUGUCCCUUGCCACCGUCCUUGCCGCCAUUCAGCCGUCAUCUACCACUUUAGCCAUUAUGUCAUAUCGACGGUCAAAUUUUAUGGAGACGGACGAUAUGUUCCUUCAGUUUGAGGACGAUUUAGAUAAUAACAUCGUGGGAGAGUCAUCAUCUGUGGGCGACAAUACAGAGUCUUCUUCUCAACAAGCGACUCCGACUCCUAGGAGACGUGCGCAGUCUCGACUCUUGGAGUUAGAGCGCCACGUUGCAAUAAAUUGGCGCAUUCCGAUGACGAUCGCCCCUGGAGCGGAGAAGCCUAUUUCUCCACACGCUUUGCUUCAGCCAGGCGAUAGGCGUGUGCGUGCGAAAGACAUUUCCCGUCCGCUGUCUUAAGUGGGCGGACGUUGGGAGAGAAUACAUUGAGGUCAUCAAGGGCGACCUCCAGCGAUUGUUUGUGCUUCAUUUCAAUGAUCAAGCGAUGAAUAGGUUUGUUGAGCAUCAGAUGCUCACGACCUUUAAAGAGUUCUGGGCCGACUGUCAUAGACAUUUCAAAAAGUACAGCGACCCAGAGGAGGCUCGUGCCAACCCACCAAACGCAUUGGUUGGACGUGAUGAGGAUUGGCACUUCCUCUGCGACCAUUAUAUCAGCCGUGCAUUCCAGGAGCAAUCACAGACGAACAAGACUGCUAGACAGAAGCAGCCUUACAAUCAUAGUAGCGGGUCCAAGUCGUUUCUACAACGACAGUAUGAGCUUGCUGAAAGAAAAGGGGAGUCGGUCGAUCGUGUGGAAUUGUUUCGGGAAACACACGUUCGAGCUGGGACAUUCGUGUCGCAGGCCGCCGAGGAUGCGCAUAAUCAAAUGCUGGAACUCCAAUCCCAGCCUAUCCCAGAGGGUAGUUAGCCACUCUCUGAGGAUGAGAUAUGCGAUCAGGUGUUGGGUAGACGACCAGGCUACUCAAAAGGUCUUGGUUGGGGACCCAAGCCGAAGGUUUGCAGAACGGCGAGUGCAAGCAGUUCGUCGACAUCUUGUUCGCAGUCCAUAGAAAAGAGAUUGAAUUACAAGCUAAACUUCAAGAAGCUUUGGAACGGAUUGAAGUACAAGAUAGAAAUCACCAAGCAUUAGCUUCACAAGUGGAAAGUAUGAAAAAGAUGAUAGAAGAAUUUACUCGUGCACAACAGGGACCACCACAUGAUCCCUAGCUCUGCGGAUCGAAAGUGUAGAAUGACGCGCAGCACCUCGUUGGAAGACUUUUUCUUAUGUUUAUGUUUUUCUAUUUUGAGAACUAUAUUUAUUGUAGUGAACUUAUUCGUAUUAUUAAUUUUAAUUCUAUUUUUUAAAU